rnacentral:lncRNA from 1 species
GGCAGUUUCUUGCUCUGCAGAAGGACUGGCUUAGUGGUUGAGAGGACCUAUUGGGUACAGUACAUUUGGCUUCAGAGAGACCCUGGGGCUGUCCAAAAUGAUGAUCAGUAAAUUAAGCAAUCUGACCAGAACAGCAACCACAUGUGUUUGUCCUUUGUUCUGGGCUGAACCAUUUCGUGCAUCCCAGGCUCUCUGUGUCUGAUUUGCCAUGAUUUCCCCCUAUUUAAUUUUUAUUGCAGAAUGUGUUUGAAGAGAAGUGGAUUUCAUGCACUGGAGAACGAUUUACCUCUCUUACAAAAGCUGAGCAUCCUUCCUCUGUGGAGAACAGAGCUUCUGUUCAAGGACCAGACUUCACUGUGACGGACGACUCCCAUUUCCCACCACUUCCGAGAGAAGGGAGAAGGCUGACCUGUUUCGUUCCUGGGAUGAACUGUGGUGUGCUUAACAUGGAGAGGGAGGCCCUGGACCAUGUGGUGACCCAGACGAGAGGGAGGUAGAUGGUCGUCCCCUGAUUGCGGUGCUUUGCCGGUGCGUGAUUCAGGUACACGACAUCACUAUCUGGGGACAGAAAGUCUUAGUGGUGAAACCCUGUUCAAAAUGAUGCUGUAACCACAAGACAGAAAACACCAACAGAUAAUAGAAGCGUGACUCUGAAAUUCCUCUCAUUUUGGAACUAAAAGCGGAAAGAAAAGCCAGACCUCUGGUGCCAGCUGGCGAAAGAGAAGAUUAAAGGAUGUGUCUCUGAUGACUCAGGAGCUGAGAUCUAUUUCUUCAUUUAAUUUAUUCUGUGUUUUUUGAAGUUGACAAUGAGAUAGAAAAACCUUGAGA